CGGCGGACGGGUGAGUAAUGCCUAGGGAUCUGCCCAGUCGAGGGGGAUAACAGUUGGAAACGACUGCUAAUACCGCAUACGCCCUACGGGGGAAAGAGGGGGACCUUCGGGCCUCUCGCGAUUGGAUGAACCUAGGUGGGAUUAGCUAGUUGGUGAGGUAAUGGCUCACCAAGGCGACGAUCCCUAGCUGUUCUGAGAGGAUGAUCAGCCACACUGGGACUGAGACACGGCCCAGACUCCUACGGGAGGCAGCAGUGGGGAAUAUUGCACAAUGGGGGAAACCCUGAUGCAGCCAUGCCGCGUGUGUGAAGAAGGCCUUCGGGUUGUAAAGCACUUUCAGUAGGGAGGAAAGGGUGAGUCUUAAUACGGCUCAUCUGUGACGUUACCUACAGAAGAAGGACCGGCUAACUCCGUGCCAGCAGCCGCGGUAAUACGGAGGGUCCGAGCGUUAAUCGGAAUUACUGGGCGUAAAGCGUGCGCAGGCGGUUUGUUAAGCGAGAUGUGAAAGCCCUGGGCUCAACCUAGGAAUAGCAUUUCGAACUGGCGAACUAGAGUCUUGUAGAGGGGGGGUAG
rnacentral:rRNA from 1 species